rnacentral:rRNA from 1 species
CCUACGGGUGGCAGCAGUGGGGAAUAUUGGGCAAUGGGCGCAAGCCUGACCCAGCAACGCCGCGUGAAGGAAGAAGGCUCUCGGGUUGUAAACUUCUUUUAUCAGGGACGAAGCAAGUGACGGUACCUGAUGAAUAAGCCACGGCUAACUACGUGCCAGCAGCCGCGGUAAUACGUAGGUGGCAAGCGUUAUCCGGAUUUACUGGGUGUAAAGGGCGUGUAGGCGGGAAAGCAAGUCAGAGGGGAAAACCAUGGGCUCAACCCGGGGACUGCAUUUGAAACUGUGUUUCUUGAGUACUGGAGAGGCAGACGGAAUUCCUAGUGUAGCGGUGAAAUGCGUAGAUAUUAGGAGGAACACCAGUGGCGAAGGCGGUCUGCUGGACAGCAACUGACGCUGAGGCGCGAAAGCGUGGGGAGCAAACAGGAUUAGAUACCCCAGUAGUC